rnacentral:rRNA from 1 species
GUCCACGCCCUAAACGAUGGAUACUCGACAUACGCGAUACACUGUGUGUGUCUGAGCGAAAGCAUUAAGUAUCCCACCUGGGAAGUACGACCGCAAGGUUGAAACUCAAAGGAAUUGACGGGGUCCGCACAAGCGGUGGAGCAUGUGGUUUAAUUCGAUGAUACGCGAGGAACCUUACCUGGGCUAGAAUGCGGUCUGACCGUUGGUGAAAGCUCACUUUGUAGCAAUACACAGAUCGUAAGGUGCUGCAUGGCUGUCGU